rnacentral:rRNA from 1 species
GACGAACGCUGGCGGCGUGCUUAACACAUGCAAGUCGAACGGAAAGGCCCUGCUUUUGUGGGGUGCUCGAGUGGCGAACGGGUGAGUAACACGUGAGUAACCUGCCCUUGCCUUUGGGAUAACUUCAGGAAACUGGGGCUAAUACCGGAUAGGAGCUCCUGCUGCAUGGUGGGGGUUGGAAAGUUUCGGCGGUUGGGGAUGGACUCGCGGCUUAUCAGCUUGUUGGGGGGGUAGUGGCUUACCAAGGCUUUGACGGGUAGCCGGCCUGAGAGGGUGACCGGCCACAUUGGGACUGAGAUACGGCCCAGACUCCUACGGGAGGCAGCAGUGGGGAAUAUUGCACAAUGGGCGGAAGCCUGAUGCAGCAACGCCGCGUGCGGGAUGACGGCCUUCGGGUUGUAAACCGCUUUCGCCUGUGACGAAGCGUGAGUGACGGUAAUGGGUAAAGAAGCACCGGCUAACUACGUG